UGAGUAACCUGCCCUUAACUCCGGAAUAACAGCUGGAAACAGCUGCUAAUACCGGAUAUGACCUCCGAUGGCAUCAUCUGGAGGUGGAAAGCUCCGGCGGUCAAGGAUGGGCUCACGGCCUAUCAGCUUUGUUGGUGAGGUAACGGCUCACCAAGGCUUCGACGGGUAGCCGGCCUGAGGAGGGCGACCGGCCACACGUGGGACUGAGACACGGCCCAGACUCCGUACGGGAGCAG
rnacentral:rRNA from 1 species